rnacentral:tRNA from 1 species
GGAGGGCAAACGUGUCCGGUGGCACGGGCGGGCUUCAAACCCGUCAAGGGGUGUCAAUCAUUCCUUCGUAAGUUCGACUCUUACUGUCCUCCGCCA